rnacentral:lncRNA from 1 species
GGAAGACUCAGGCCGUAAUAGCAGCCAGAGAGGAUGCACUGGAUAUUUGUUGCUGUGCUUAAAAAUGCCAAGUUAGAGUAAUACCUUAACAGUGCAAAUAAAAACAAGUUAUCAUAGCCUUUCCAUAGUCUCCAGCUAGGCUGGUUACAAAAUAAUCAAACAUAUAUUAUUUGAUGUGAUGGAGAACUUCUGUCCAAAUGACAGGCAGGAAGAGUAGGUGUAUCGUUUGGUAAUGACUGACCUAAUGACUCAGACUUUACCUAAUGCAAAUAGACGGGAAGAGUCUUGAGUUGCACCUGCCUGCAUUCUUGCUCGCUAGCGGACAGUCUUCAGAACAAGUUGGAUCUUCAAAAUUGAAUUUUCUACUUGAAAACACAGUUAAAUUGUUCCCCAUCCUCUCCCUGAGAGAGUCAAUGUCUGCUUCAUCAACCCUGACUGCCUACAGUGUGCAACAAGCUCCAUCACCUUUCUUCACAAAGAAGAUUGCUUGCACAGAAGGUUUCUCAAACUGCUUGGGACACCUUGCACAGAUUCAUGCCUCUGCCUUGAAUUCAGAAGGGACACUUAAAGAAAUCCUGAACAUUUUGUUGGAAAUGUGAUCAGUCACCUGCAACUUAGACCCUACCUGUUUGGUAAAGGGAAUAAGGACAACUAGAACUUCUGGUAUUUCCAAAGAUUUGUCUGAAGGAAAUGCAGUAUUUUCCAUACAGUAACCCAUCCAACCCCAAAACAAUUUUGGGUGGAAUGGAAGUUGACAACAGGUAUCAAAUCUCUUUUUUUCUGAACAAGCUUAUUAAAAUGCUAGCAACAUCUCUGCAGCUAGAACUGGAGUCUAAUAAGAUUUUAAGGUAGAAUAUGGAAUGCAAUCUUGGCUAUCUAAGGACCAAUUAUGCAUACAUAUAUAUAUAUACCUGCACACAUGUGUGUGCAGAUAUAUAUAUAUAUUCAUUUUUGCUGAGCAAGUUAUUUUGAUAUAGUCAAAUAUAGGAUGCUGACUUAUAAGAAUGUAACAGUAAAACCACUUUGACCUUUAUUUUUCUGCAUAGCAACACACACACAAAUCAGCACAAUCAAAAAUAUAAGUAGAGUUUCUUAUUUAAAGGAGGAAUAGAAAGAAGACUUGGUGCACUUCACUUUUUUUUUUUUUUUUGAAAUACCACAGUGUUUGUGCAGCAUAAGAAACUGACAGAUAGAACAUAUAUUGUACAGUCAUAUCUAUUAAUGAACAUAAUAUAACAUUAAUGAUGCCUUUGCAUCAAAUAUAAGAAAAGAAACUGUACCACGUGCCAUUUAGUUAAUAUAGGGAAAAAAAAAAAGUGUACCAAACACAUGAGCUCACUUCAGUGAACAAAUAAAAGCUGAAUGCUUUUCA